GGGUUGUGAGGUUAAGCGACUAAGCGUACACGGUGGAUGCCCUGGCAGUCAGAGGCGAUGAAGGACGUGCUAAUCUGCGAUAAGCGUCGGUAAGGUGAUAUGAACCGUUAUAACCGGCGAUUUCCGAAUGGGGAAACCCAGUGUGAUUCGUCACACUAUCAUUAACUGAAUCCAUAGGUUAAUGAGGCGAACCGGGGGAACUGAAACAUCUAAGUACCCCGAGGAAAAGAAAUCAACCGAGAUUCCCCCAGUAGCGGCGAGCGAACGGGGAGCAGCCCAGAGCCUGAAUCAGUGUGUGUGUUAGUGGAAGCGUCUGGAAAGGCGCGCGAUACAGGGUGACAGCCCCGUACACAAAAAUGCACAUACUGUGAGCUCGAUGAGUAGGGCGGGACACGUGGUAUCCUGUCUGAAUAUGGGGGGACCAUCCUCCAAGGCUAAAUACUCCUGACUGACCGAUAGUGAACCAGUACCGUGAGGGAAAGGCGAAAAGAACCCCGGCGAGGGGAGUGAAAAAGAACCUGAAACCGUGUACGUACAAGCAGUGGGAGCCUCUUUAUGGGGUGACUGCGUACCUUUUGUAUAAUGGGUCAGCGACUUAUAUUCUGUAGCAAGGUUAACCGAAUAGGGGAGCCGAAGGGAAACCGAGUCUUAACUGGGCGUUAAGUUGCAGGGUAUAGACCCGAAACCCGGUGAUCUAGCCAUGGGCAGGUUGAAGGUUGGGUAACACUAACUGGAGGACCGAACCGACUAAUGUUGAAAAAUUAGCGGAUGACUUGUGGCUGGGGGUGAAAGGCCAAUCAAACCGGGAGAUAGCUGGUUCUCCCCGAAAGCUAUUUAGGUAGCGCCUCGUGAAUUCAUCUCCGGGGGUAGAGCACUGUUUCGGCAAGGGGGUCAUCCCGACUUACCAAC
rnacentral:rRNA from 1 species